UUAUUUCGAGAUAUCUCGUUGAAGUAUCGAACUAUCGAUAAGGAAGGGUUCCUUCCGGUUUCUAUAUUCCCAUUGUGUACUAAAGUUGAUGCAACUCCAUAUUUUUUUCUCAUUUAUAUAAUUUGACCUGCUUUUACUCGCAUUGCGUGCAAUUUAUUAUACAAGCUGAUGUAUUGAAUUGGGAGCUACUAAAGGUCUUUUCUCUGUAUUUUAAUAAACGGAAGAAAAUUCCGUGUAGAAUAAUAUAAAUUGGUGAGGUGUAUGGAGAUCGAGUGCAACGUACAAGUGAAAAAAAAUAACAUGGCAGGAGGCUACAACACCGAAAUGCAAUUACACGCUAUGCGUUUAUGCAUCAAAUUGUAUCUUGUAUAUAUUGUAUUUUUUUAUUUGUUAUAUUAUUUGUCUGUUAUAUGAUAGUAUAUAAAUACGUAGCAAAAUAAAU